rnacentral:piRNA from 1 species
UCACAGUGAAGACAGAGUUUUCUUACAGAC